rnacentral:rRNA from 1 species
UACGGGGGCAGGGCAGCUGUUGGUCGAAUUACUGGGCGUAAAGGGCUCGUAGGCGGCCAACUAAGUCAGACGUGAAAUCCCUCGGCUUAACCGGGGAACUGCGUCUGAUACUGGAUGGCUUGAGUUUGGGAGAGGGAUGCGGAAUUCCAGGUGUAGCGGUGAAAUGCGUAGAUAUCUGGAGGAACACCGGUGGCGAAGGCGGCAUCCUGGGACCAACACUGACGCUGAGUGAGCGAAAGCCAGGGGGAGCAAAGCGGG